UGGGGAAUAUUGGACAAUGGGGGCAACCCUGAUCCAGCCAUGCCGCGUGUGUGAAGAAGGCCUUUUGGUUGUAAAGCACUUUAAGCAGGGAGGAGAGGCUAAUGGUUAAUACCCAUUAGAUUAGACGUUACCUGCAGAAUAAGCACCGGCUAACUCUGUGCCAGCAGCCGCGGUAAUACAGAGGGUGCGAGCGUUAAUCGGAAUUACUGGGCGUAAAGCGAGUGUAGGUGGCUCAUUAAGUCACAUGUGAAAUCCCCGGGCUUAACCUGGGAACUGCAUGUGAUACUGGUGGUGCUAGAAUAUGUGAGAGGGAAGUAGAAUUCCAGGUGUAGCGGUGAAAUGCGUAGAGAUCUGGAGGAAUACCGAUGGCGAAGGCAGCUUCCUGGCAUAAUAUUGACACUGAGAUUCGAAAGCGUGGGUAGCAAAACAGGAUUAGAUACCCUGGUAGUCCACGCCGUAAACGAUGUCUACUAGCCGUUGGGGUCCUUGAGACUUUAGUGGCGCAGUUAAACGCGAUAAGUAGACCGCCU
rnacentral:rRNA from 1 species